GACGAACGCUGGCGGCGUGCCUAAUACAUGCCAGUAGAACGCUGAAGGAGGAGCUUGCUUCUCUGGAUGAGUUGCGAACGGGUGAGUAACGCGUAGGUAACCUGCCUGGUAGCGGGGGAUAACUAUUGGAAACGAUAGCUAAUACCGCAUAAUAUUGACUAUUGCAUGAUAGUCAGUUGAAAGGUGCAACUGCACCACUACCAGAUGGACCUGCGUUGUAUUAGCUAGUUGGUGGGGUAACGGCUCACCAAGGCGACGAUACAUAGCCGACCUGAGAGGGUGAUCGGCCACACUGGGACUGAGACACGGCCCAGACGCCUACGGGAGGCAGCAGUAGGGAAUCUUCGGCAAUGGACGGAAGUCUGACCGAGCAACGCCGCGUGAGUGAAGAAGGGUUUCGGAUCGUAAAGCUCUGUUGUAAGAGAAGAACGAGUGUGAGAGCGGAAAGCUCACACUGUGACGGUAUCUUACCAGAAAGGGACGGCUAACUACGUG
rnacentral:rRNA from 1 species